UGGUUUAGAAGUAGAGAAUGUGCUGCUACACACCCUUUGGGUCAAAAGAAAUGUGGGGUUGGCACUCCCACCGUAACCA
rnacentral:ncRNA from 1 species